rnacentral:rRNA from 1 species
AGCUCCAAUAGCGUAUAUUAAAAUUGUUGCAGUUAAAAAGCUCGUAGUUGGAUCUGCGGUUAGGGCUUGCGGUCCACCACGCGGUGGUACUGCUCGUCCCGACCUACAUCGAAUUGACCCGCGUUGCUCUUCGCUGAGUGACCGGGAAGGCUCGAACGUUUACUUUGAAAAAAUUAGAGUGUUCAUAGCAGGCAGUCCGCCUGAAUAAUGUUGCAUGGAAUAAUAGAAUAGGACCUCGGUUCUAUUUUGUUGGUUUUCGGAAUUGAGGUAAUGAUUAAUAGGGACGGCCGGGGGCAUUCGUAUUACGGUGUUAGAGGUGAAAUUCUGGGAUCAUCGUAAGACGAACUACAGCGAAAGCAUUUGCCAAGAAUGUUUUCAUUAAUCAAGAACGAAAGUACGC